rnacentral:rRNA from 1 species
UACGGAGGGGACUAGCGUUGUUCGGAAUUACUGGGCGUAAAGCGCACGUAGGCGGAUUUGUAAGUCAGGGGUGAAAGCCCGCGGCCCAGCCGCGGAAGUGCCCCUGAUACCGCCGGCCUUGAGGGGGAUAGGGGCGUGCGGAACUUCGGGUGGAGCGGUGAAAUGCGUAGAUAUCCGAAGGAACACCGGUGGCGAAGGCGGCACGCUGGGUCCCUACUGACGCUGAGGCGCGAAGGCCAGGGGAGCGAACGGG